UAAUGAAGUGUCUGAUUAUAGAGUUAUUUUGAUAGAGUAAAACAAGUGAGGUUUCACCUUCAUUAU
rnacentral:tRNA from 1 species